rnacentral:rRNA from 1 species
UACGUAGGUGGCAAGCGUUGUCCGGAUUUAUUGGGUUUAAAAGGGUGCGUAGGCGGUUCCAUAAGUCAGUGGUGAAAUACAAUAGCUUAACUAUUGAGGUGCCAUUGAUACUGCGGAACUUGAGUACAGACGAGGUAGGCGGAAUUGACGGUGUAGCGGUGAAAUGCUUAGAUAUCGUCAAGAACACCGAUAGCGAAGGCAGCUUACUAGACUGUAACUGACGCUGAGGCACGAAAGUGUGGGGAUCAAACAGG